rnacentral:rRNA from 1 species
CACGUAGGGCGCAAGCGUUGUCCGGAAUUAUUGGGCGUAAAGAGCUCGUAGGCGGUCUGUUGCGUCCGCUGUGAAAAACUCGGGGCUUAACCCCGAGCCUGCAGUGGAUACGGGCAGACUAGAGGUAGGUAGGGGAGAAUGGAAUUCCCGGUGUAGCGGUGAAAUGCGCAGAUAUCGGGAGGAACACCGGUGGCGAAGGCGGUUCUCUGGGCCUUACUUGACGCUGAGGAGCGAAAGCGUGGGGGAGCAAACAGG